GACGAACGCUGGCGGCGUGCCUAAUACAUGCAAGUCGAACGCUGAUUUUUUAACUGAUGCUUGCAUCGACCAAAAAAUCGGAGUGGCGAACGGGUGAGUAACACGUGGGUAACCUGCCUAUCAGAGGGGGAUAACACUUGGAAACAGGUGCUAAUACCGCAUAACAAUAUCAAUCGCAUGAUAGAUAUUUGAAAGGCGCUUAUGGUGUCACUGAUAGAUGGACCCGCGGCGUAUUAACUAGUUGGUAAGGUAACGGCUUACCAAGGUGAUGAUACGUAGCCGAACUGAGAGGUUGAUCGGCCACAAUGGGACUGAGACACGGCCCAUACUCCUACGGGAGGCAGCAGUAGGGAAUCUUCCACAAUGGGCGCAAGCCUGAUGGAGCAACGCCGCGUGAAUGAAGAAGGUCUUCGGAUCGUAAAGUUCUGUUAUUAGAGAAGAACACGUGUAAGAGUAACUGAUUAUGCGUUGACGGUAUCUAAUCAGCAAGUCACGGCUAACUACGUGCCAGCCGCCGCAGUAAAAC
rnacentral:rRNA from 1 species